rnacentral:rRNA from 1 species
CCUACGGGGGGCUGUAGUGAGGAAUAUUGGUCAAUGGACGAGAGUCUGAACCAGCCAAGUAGCGUGAAGGAUGACUGCCCUAUGGGUUGUAAACUUCUUUUAUAUGGGAAUAAAAUGUUCCACGUGUGGGAUUUUGUAUGUACCAUAUGAAUAAGGAUCGGCUAACUCCGUGCCAGCAGCCGCGGUAAUACGGAGGAUCCGAGCGUUAUCCGGAUUUAUUGGGUUUAAAGGGAGCGUAGGUGGAUUGUUAAGUCAGUUGUGAAAGUUUGCGGCUCAACCGUAAAAUUGCAGUUGAAACUGGCAGUCUUGAGUACAGUAGAGGUGGGCGGAAUGCGUGGUGUAGCGGUGAAAUGCUUAGAUAUCACGAAGAACUCCGAUUGCGAAGGCAGUUCACUGGACUGCAACUGACACUGAGGCUCGAAAGUGUGGGUAUCAAACAGGAUUAGAUACCCCUGUAGUC